UCGAGGAAAUUCCGGCCGAGGGGCACUGCCCCGGAGCUGAAAUAUUCUACCCUGUCCUUUAGAUACCUCUACCUCCUCCCCGGCCACAGCGCCGGGCUGGCUACUCAAAAGAACCUUGCAGUUUACAGUCAAUUCAGUACAGAAACAAACAAAAUUA
rnacentral:misc_RNA from 1 species